UAGAGCUAAAAACUCAGCCACCGUGGCUUGGAGGUACAAUAACAACAUUCUUUGCGGACAAUUCUGGAGAACAUGGUCCAACAGGGGAAGGUCAACUCCUUGCAGGCCCAAACAAAAUUGGGACAAUAUGAAAAAGAAAUAUAAAGUUUGUUCAGAAGUUCUCAUGUCACACACAAAUAAAGAAAUAUUUCUAAAAGUC